rnacentral:rRNA from 1 species
GACGAACGCUGGCGGCGUGCCUAAUACAUGCAAGUCGAGCGAAUCAAUAGGAGCUUGCUCCUGUUGGUUAGCGGCGGACGGGUGAGUAACACGUGGGCAACCUGCCUGUAAGACUGGGAUAACACCGGGAAACCGGUGCUAAUACCGGAUAAUCCUCUUUCUCUCAUGAGGAAAAGCUGAAAGUCGGUUUCGGCUGACACUUACAGGUGGGCCCGCGGCGCAUUAGCUAGUUGGUGAGGUAACGGCUCACCAAGGCGACGAUGCGUAGCCGACCUGAGAGGGUGAUCGGCCACACUGGGACUGAGACACGGCCCAGACUCCUACGGGAGGCAGCAGUAGGGAAUCUUCCACAAUGGACGAAAGUCUGAUGGAGCAACGCCGCGUGAGCGAUGAAGGCCUUCGGGUCGUAAAGCUCUGUUGUUAGGGAAGAACAAGUACCGGAGUAACUGCCGGUACCUUGACGGUACCUAACCAGAAAGCCACGGCUAACUACGUGCCAGCAGCCGCCGUAAGAC